CCUACGGGAGGCAGCAGUGAGGAAUAUUGGUCAAUGGUCGGGAGACUGAACCAGCCAAGCCGCGUGAGGGAUGAAGGUACAGAGUAUCGUAAACCUCUUUUGUCAGGGAACAAAGGCGGGGACGCGUCCCCGGAUGAGUGUACCUGAAGAAAAAGCAUCGGCUAACUCCGUGCCAGCAGCCGCGGUAAUACGGAGGAUGCGAGCGUUAUCCGGAUUUAUUGGGUUUAAAGGGUGCGCAGGCGGUCUGUUAAGUCAGCGGUCAAAGGUCGGGGCUCAACCCCGUCCCGCCGUUGAAACUGGCAGUCUCGAGGUGGCGAGAAGUAUGCGGAAUGCGCGGUGUAGCGGUGAAAUGCAUAGAUAUCGCGCAGAACUCCGAUUGCGAAGGCAGCAUGCCGGCUCCACACUGACGCUGAGGCACGAAAGCGUGGGUAUCGAACAGGAUUAGAUACCCCAGUAGUC
rnacentral:rRNA from 1 species